GCUAAUCUGCGAUAAGCGUCGGUAAGGUGAUAUGAACCGUUAUAACCGGCGAUUUCCGAAUGGGGAAACCCAGUGUGAUUCGUCACACUAUCAUUAACUGAAUCCAUAGGUUAAUGAGGCGAACCGGGGGAACUGAAACAUCUAAGUACCCCGAGGAAAAGAAAUCAACCGAGAUUCCCCCAGUAGCGGCGAGCGAACGGGGAGGAGCCCAGAGCCUGAAUCAGUGUGUGUGUUAGUGGAAGCGUCUGGAAAGGCGCGCGAUACAGGGUGACAGCCCCGUACACAAAAAUACACAUAUUGUGAGCUCGAUGAGUAGGGCGGGACACGUGGUAUCCUGUCUGAAUAUGGGGGGACCAUCCUCCAAGGCUAAAUACUCCUGACUGACCGAUAGUGAACCAGUACCGUGAGGGAAAGGCGAAAAGAACCCCGG
rnacentral:rRNA from 1 species